UACGGAGGGUGCGAGCGUUGUCCGGAAUCACUGGGCGUAAAGGGCGCGUAGGCGGCUUGGGAAGUCCGUGGUGAAAGCCCGAGGCUCAACUUCGGGUCGGCCAUGGAUACUCCUAAGCUCGAGUCGACUAGAGGCUAAUGGAAUUCCGGGUGUAGCGGUGGAAUGCGUAGAGAUCCGGAAGAACACCGGUGGCGAAGGCGGUUAGCUGGGGUCGGACUGACGCUGAGGCGCGACAGCGCGGGGAGCAAACAGG
rnacentral:rRNA from 1 species